AUCCAGCUGACGAGUCCCAAAUAGAACGAAAUGUACGUCCAACUGCAU
rfam:Schistosoma rodhaini strain Burundi genome assembly, scaffold: SROB_scaffold0000671